CCUACGGGGGGCUGCAGUGGGGAAUAUUGCGCAAUGGGCGAAAGCCUGACGCAGCAACGCCGCGUGCGGGAUGACGGCCUUCGGGUUGUAAACCGCUUUCAGCAGGGACGAAGUGAAAAUGACGGUACCUGCAGAAGAAGCACCGGCCAACUACGUGCCAGCAGCCGCGGUGAUACGUAGGGUGCGAGCGUUGUCCGGAAUUAUUGGGCGUAAAGAGCUUGUAGGCGGUCUGUCGCGUCGAAAGUGAAAACUCAGGGCUCAACCCUGAGCCUGCUCUCGAUACGGGCAGACUAGAGGAAGGUAGGGGAGAACGGAAUUCUUGGUGGAGCGGUGGAAUGCGCAGAUAUCAGGAAGAACACCGGUGGCGAAGGCGGUUCUCUGGACCUUUCCUGACGCUGAGAAGCGAAAGCGUGGGGAGCAAACAGGCUUAGAUACCCCAGUAGUC
rnacentral:rRNA from 2 species